rnacentral:lncRNA from 1 species
UAAAUCAAGAUACCAUCUCCGAUCAUCAAGAUACCAUCUCCGCUCAUCAUCUUAUGUGACGAAUCUUUCAAGAAUCAUAUGUAAAUAUCAUUCUACAUAAUUUGCAGAUAUGGAUCCCUUGAACAACAGUUCUUCAUUUGUAAAGCUUAUUGAGGAAGAUGACCCGAUAUUUUUGUUAUGGAUCCUAAAAACAACGCUCCAAUCGUUUUUAAAGUUGAUUGAUGACUAUGAUCCUAUAUAAAAAUCGGACUCCGAUAAUUCCUUAAACAAAAGAGGAAAUACCGUCUGAUUUUGCAAGCUUAUUGUGGGGAGGAAAAGUUCCAUAUGGUAAAUGUCUUGAACUUAUUGAUGAUGACUUAUGCAACUGCAGGAGUCUGAAUCUUCUUCGAACACAAGAGGUAAGUUUAAUUUAUCUUUUUUUUUUUGUGUUUUAUGAUCCGGUAUAAUGAUAGUUUUCAUCGUUUAUGCUAAUCUCUAUAAUUUUUAAGUUAUUUUGUUUUUUUUUUUUGGCAAAUCUAACUAUGAUAUUUUUUGAAAUUUGAAAAUUUCUGUUUUUUUACUAAUAAAUUUUGUAUUGUAUUAAUAUGUAUUAAUGAUUCGUUUGUUUUGGUUUUUUAUUUCUGUUUUUCUUUUUUCAUGAUUAACUAAUAAAUUAUAUAUUGUGUUAAUUUUGAAUCCAUUAAAGAUUAUGUAAAUUUUUAGUGUGUGAUAUGUUUUUACGGAAUAUUUAUUGUGUUUCUAAAAAUAAAUAUAUUUUAAUUUUUUUUGAAACCGUUCCUUUUUAAUUAUUUGUUUUAGAAAUUUCUCCCGAUAGUAUAAGUUUGUUUCUAUAAAUAGUUUACCGUUUUAAUUUUUAAAAAAGCCUACAUAUUUAAUUUCCAGAUAUGGAUUAGAGUAACAACUGUUUUUCAUUUUUAAAGCUUAUUGAGGAAUAUGGCCCAUUAUUUUUGGUAUGUUUAUUUGUUUUCUAAUUAUUAUUUUAUUGUCAUUGUUUUUUUUUUCUUAUUUUGUUAAAUUUAAUUACUAUUCGUAUUAUUUUGCAAACUUAUUGUGGGGAGGAAAAGUUCCACAUGGUCAAUGUCUUGAACUUAUUGAUAAUGACUUAUGCAACUGCAGGAGUCUGAAUCUUCUUCGAACACAAGAGGUAAGUUUAAUUUUAUCGUUUUUUUUUUUUUUUUGUGUUUUAUGAUCCGGUAUAAUGAUAGGUUUCAUCGUUUAUGCUAAUCUCUAUAAUUUUUAAGUUAUUUUGUUUAAUUAAUUACUAUUCGUAGUAGAUUGUUAAACAUUUUUUUCCCUUAUAUGUAGUUCAAAGAUGAUUGGGAUAAAAAAACUGAACCGAAAGGGAAAACAAGUGUUCUUUGUGAUGAAAAUCAAAGUUCAAAGGUUUGUGUUCAUUUACUAAAUUAUAGGAGUUUGUAAUUAACUGAAUUGUUUUACCUUUAUUUUUUCAUUUUCGAAGGUUAAUGUUUUAUGUUUCUUAGGAUGAUCCGAAGGGGAAAUCAAAUGUUAUUGUUGAUGAAAAUCUAACUUUAAAGGUUUUUGUUCACUUAGUUUAAUUUUAUCAGUUUUUUUGGUGUUUUUGAUCUGGUAUAAUGAUAGUUUUCAUCGUUUAUGCUAAUCUCUAUAAUUUUUAAGUUAUUUUGUUUUUUUUUUUUGGCAAAUCUAACUAUGAUAUUUUUUAAAAUUUGAAAAUCUUAGUUUUUUUACUAAUAAAUUUUGUAUUAUAUUAAUAAGUAUUAAUGCUUCUUUUUUUUGUUUUUUUAUUUCUGUUUUUCUUUUUUCAUGAUUAACUAAUAAAUUUUAUAUUGUGUUAAUUUUGAAUCCAUUAAAGAUUAUGUAAAUUUUUAGUGUGUGAUAUGUUUUUACGGAAUAUUGAUUGGGUUUCUAAAAAUAAAUAAGUUUUAAAUUUUUUUGAAACCGUUCCUUUUUAAUUAUUUGUUUUAGAAUUUUCUCCCGAUAUUAUAAGUUUUUUCUAUAAAUAGUUUACCGUUUUAAUUUUUUUAAAACCUUCAUAUUUAACUUCCAGAUAUGGAUCAGAGUAACAAUUGUCCUUCAUUUUUAAAGCUUAUUGAGGAAGAUGACCCAUUAUUUUUGUUCAAAGAUGAUUGGAUAAAAAAAAACUGAACCGAAAGGGAAAGCAAGUGUUCUUUUGUGAUGAAAAUCAAAGUUCAAAGGUUUGUUUUCAUUUACUAAAUUAUAGGAGUUUGUAAUUAACUGAAUUGUUUUACCUUUAUUUUUUUCACUUUCAAAGGUUAAUGUUUUAUGUUUCUUAGGAUGAUCCGAAGGGGAAAUCAAAUGUUGUUGUUGAUGAAAAUCUAACUUUAAAGGUUUUUGUUCACUUAGUUAAUUAUAGUUUUAUGAAUUUAAGUGGAGUACUUCACAUUUUUUAUUUAUAUGUUUACCUUUUUUCGGGUCAAAAGCAAGUUUGAGAUGGAUCUGGACAAAUUUUUGAUACCGAAGAAUAAAUCCCAUGUAUACCUGGUUACUUAAGUAUUAUAUAAUGCAAUUCCAUUAAAUAAGUAGAUAAUUCCAUUUAUUCUGCAGGUAUAUAAUCAAGAUUUGAUUGUUAUGUAUUUUAAAUCUUUAAUCGCAAUGUUUUUUGAUCAUUUAUAUGUAUUUUUUGUGUUGUUGAUGAUUAUUUAAGUUUGUCCGAUUAUAAUGUUUAUGAAUGGAUCUAUUCUUUGAUGUGGAGGAGGUAGGGGUUCGGGUACUACAAGUUGUAAGGGGGUCUACGGUGAGGCCAAGUUUAGACACGGACAAACUUAUAAAGUUGUUUCACGGUUUUGGAUUCAUUGAAACUCGAGCUUAAUCGAUUGGAAAUUGAAGUCACGGUAUUAAUGCAAAAUGAUUUGUUGGAUUAACUGAAGCUUUUUUGUUUUUGAAUGUUGAUAUUGUUUGUUCUUCUGUAGAUUAUGAUCGAGAACCGAGCGAAUCACAAUCUUAGAUAGAUUUUAAUUUUUUUUGUUUUUGAAUGUUGAUAAUGUUUGUUCUUCUGCAGAUUAUGAUCGAGAACAGAGCGAAUCACAAUCUUAGAUAGAUUUUAAAUUAAAUGUCUACAUAAGAAAAAAAUGAUUGAAAACUAUAACUUUAAU